rnacentral:rRNA from 1 species
UCAGGCGGCGAGUGAUAAAAUCCGUCGUCAAGAGGGAAACAACCCAGACUACCAGCUAAGGUCCCUAAAUCUUACUUAAGUGGAAAACGAUGUGAAGUUACUUAAACAACCAGGAGGUUGGCUUAGAAGCAGCCAUCCUUUAAAGAAAGCGUAAUAGCUCACUGGUCUAGUGAUUUUGCGCGGAAAAUAUAACGGGGCUAAAGUAAGUACCGAAGCUGUAGACUUAGUUUACUAAGUGGUAGGAGAGCGUUCUAUUUGCGUCGAAGGUAUACCGGUAAGGAGUGCUGGAGCGAAUAGAAGUGAGCAUGCAGGCAUGAGUAGCGAUAAUUAAUGUGAGAAUCAUUAACGCCGUAAACCCAAGGUUUCCUACGCGAUGCUCGUCAUCGUAGGGUUAGUCGGGUCCUAAGUCGAGUCCGAAAGGGGUAGACGAUGGCAAAUUGGUUAAUAUUCCAAUACCAACAUUAGUGUGCGAUGGAAGGACGCUUAGGGCUAAGGGGGCUAGCGGAUGGAAGUGCUAGUCUAAGGUCGUAGGAGGUUAUACAGGCAAAUCCGUAUAACAAUACUCCGAGAACUGAAAGGCUUUUUGAAGUCUUCGGAUGGAUAGAAGAACCCCUGAUGCCGUCGA